rnacentral:sRNA from 1 species
UUGUUGCCAAUGAUGGUUUAUAAAUAUACUUUGAGCUAACACAAUGAAAAGAAUUUUAUCUGAGGCAACUUGAUUUUUAAACAUUUCAUUUCUUUCAAGUUUUUAAUAUUUAAAGAAGAUGAUGAUAGAUAAGACAGGGACAUCUGCAUUCCAUUGGAGUAUGAUGAUUUGUCUGUGGGAAUAUCUCUGAUUUUUU